rnacentral:rRNA from 1 species
AGACCGAUAGCGAACAAGUAGAGUGAUCGAAAGAUGAAAAGCACUUUGAAAAGAGGGUUAAAAAGUACGUGAAAUUGUUGAAAGGGAAGCGCCUAUGACCAGACUUGGGCCCGGUGAAUCAUCCAGCGUUCUCGCUGGUGCACUUUGCCGGGCACAGGCCAGCAUCAGUUUGGCGCGGGGGACAAAGGCUUCGGGAAUGUGGCUCCCCUCGGGGAGUGUUAUAGCCCGUUGCACAAUACCCUGCGCCGGACUGAGGUACGCGCUCCGCAAGGAUGCUGGCGUAAUGGUCAUCAGCGACCCGUCUUGAAACACGGACCAAG